GAUGAACGCUGGCGGCGUGCCUAAUACAUGCAAGUCGAGCGAACAGACGAGGAGCUUGCUCCUCUGACGUUAGCGGCGGACGGGUGAGUAACACGUAGAUAACCUACCUAUAUGACUUGGAUAACUUCGGGAAACCGGAGCUAAUAACGGAUAAUAUAUUGAACCGCAUGGUUCUAUAGUGAAAUACGGUUUUGCUGUGACUUAUAGAUGGAUCCGCGCCGCAUUAGAUAGUUGGUAAGGUAACGGGUUACCAAGGCAACGAUGCGUAGCCGACAUGAGCGGGUGGUCGGCCACACUGGAAGUGAACCGGGGACCAGACUACUACGGGAGGCAGCAGUAGGGAACGUUCCGCAAUGGGCGAAAGCCUUACGGAGCAACGGCGAGUCAGUGAUGACGGUCUUCGGAGCGGGAAGCUCUGUUAUUAGGGAAGAACAAAUGUCUAAGUGAAUAUACACGUCUUGACGGUACCUAAACAGAAAGCCACGGCUAACUACGUG
rnacentral:rRNA from 1 species